CUGCCCGCCUGCGCUGCCGGCCUCCCGCUCCUGCCCCGCUGCGGGACGGCGCUCACGGCGCUCAGCAGCGCGCGGGCUUCUCCCCGGAUCCUAGAAUCACGGAAUGGCUUGGAUUGGAAGGGACCUUAAAGAACGUCUCGUUCCCACCUCCCUGCCGUGAGCAGGGACACCUCCCGCUGGACCAGGCUGCUCAGUGCCCCUUCCAGCGUGGCCUUGAACACUGCCAGGGACGGGGCAUCCCUCACCAGUAGCGUUUUCAAAGUACCACCUGCUGCUGAACGUGCCUCGUGGGCACCACUGAAAAGAAAUGGCAUCAUUCGAUACCCUGCAGUGAGUCCUAAUCGAUUAGCCAUGACGGUUUGAAGGAGAAGCAUCUCACCGUGUUCUCUCUCUAGUCUUUGCUUUAACGUGAAGGGCAUUGAGCCCCUUGUUCGUGGAGACGAGGUUCCUCUUUACUACUCCUUUGUCACCAGUGACAUUCCCACUCUCAUCAGAAGUUACACAGUGGCUGUGUUCACAACCAGUCUACCCCAGUGUUGUUAUCUCCAACGUGUCUCCAGGACAUGAAAGAAGUGAACUACCAUAAGCUGAGAGUGGAGGCAGGGAAGUCCAUGCCUCUUAUGCCUGCAAGACCAAAACCAGCUACAACAGUGCCAUUGCAGCUGCAGAAAGUAUCGUGGGAGGCCUUUUCAGCAGGAGUGUGCACUGUGCUGUAGAGCUUGGAACCUGCACAUGACAAAGCUUUUCAUUCAGCAUCAGCCUGAGAAGGGCUGUACUGUCACUGCAUGGCUCUUUAUGCCAAAGGCACGGUAACAGCAGCCAGUCCUGCAACGUGAUAGCAGCCUCCAGCUCCCAAAUCCCCCGUGCCAAGAUGGAGAAAGCCACAGCGGUUCACAUUCCCCAGCAGCCAGAGCUGCAUCUCCCUCACUUCCAGCGGCCUGCCCUGGCCUCACUGCCUCCUCAGAAGCUCUCACAAAGUGGGGUUUGUGGGAGCUGGGCAGCUGUGCCUGGUGCAGGGCAGCAGGGCAGGGCUCAGGAGCAUGGAUGGGCAGGUGGAACAGCUCCGAGAUGUGCCAGCCACAGCCCAGCUGCAGAACCACUCUGACACUGUCAUGUAGGAACCUCCUUUCCCUUCUCCCUCCCCUCUAAGUUCACAACAGAUACUUGGGAUACUGUUUUCAAAGAGAAGAAACCUGAGAGACCUGAGGUGUUAGUUUGGAUCAGGCUUUUUUUCUCAGCAGUACAGGAGAAGACCUUCUCGUUUUCUAGUAGAGCCCUCCCAUAGCAGGGACAGCCUUGGACAGUCAGAGCCCCUGAGGCUACAAACAGGAGAUACACAGGAAAAAUAACACAGACCACAGCUGGCCUCUCAGUGUCACUGCCAGCCCAAACAUCACCAGCCUAUUCAUGGUCAGCAGCCAGCAAGCAGGGGAAGGUAGCACAGAGGUAAUUCAGUGCCUCUCUCCCACGUGGAAGGCUGAGCUGCAGAGUUGAACACAAGAGAUCCCACAUGGAUUACACAGCUUGACCUCGGCCACAGUGAAGACAGAACCCAAAUGGUUUUUGGCAUGGUCACAGGAACAGCUUUCCCCUGGGAGCCUCUUGCAGCUUAGAGCAAGAUGGUCUCCCCAAAUCCCUCUUCAAACUAUGUCUCCUGCUUGCAGACUCCAGGAGGGAAUAGAGGUGGCUGACCCACUCUUCACAGGGUACUGCCAGCUUGCUUCUUAGCUCUGGACCAGCUUCACUGAAGGUAUUCUUAAUUUCCGGCAAUAUGAGAAAAUAUUCUUUGCAAUAUAUUAAAGUCGUUCAUAGAUUUGAUAUUGAAGUAUCUAAAGCCACAAUUUAAAAUAGGAAUAGAAUCAGGCCUGAAAUAAAGGCUGGUCUGUGCAUAUAGUUUUUGUGCUAUUGAGCCAAUAUCAUGUCAAUUAUUAUAAAAAUCAUAUAUUUUUAGUUACAUGUGUUCUUAUUGCCCAUAUUUGAUUGGCAAAGACGAAAUAUUGUUAGAGUACUAUUUGCUUUGUCAUUUAUAUACCUUCAGCAUUUUUACAGUGUAAGAAUUCCAGGCAGUUGACAGCUGACAUAUUAUUAUUCAGUACAGAGAUGAGAUAUUGAAUCUCAUCAUGGUAAAGAAAAGUAUGUGCAAGAAAGCUAAAUUAGUCUUGUGUCUGAGCAGUGUAUCUCAGUGAGACUCAGAAAAGUGUGGUACUGCUCCUACCUGUGCUACAUUUGCUCUGCAGCCCUGCAGAUUAUUGAGUAGUAGUAAAAGGAAACAUUUUCCAAUCAUACUGCAGUCCUGUGAGGUACAGGCAAUCUCCUGUGAGAUAUAGUCAAUCUCUUGUGAGAUUGUUGGGCACUGAGAUGUUCUGAAAGGGUGAAGGGGGUCAAAUAUAAAAAAAAAAAAAAAAAAAAAAAAAAAAAAAAAGAAAUACAUCUCUGCAUAGGCAGAGUUCAAGCUCUCUUCACUGGUUCAACCUGCCUCCUGUCUGAGCAUUACCACUGAAGAGCUCAGAUUUGCAUGCAUGGAUCCUCCUGGACAUAUCCUGUGUCUCCCCUUGCCUGCAUGGAUCCUCCUGGACAUAUCCUGUGUCUCCCCUUGUCAUGAAGCACUGCAGGACAAAGCAAUAGAUGCAGCCCUUCCUGUUUACUACUCUGGGUGUGGUACAUCAACUGCUCCUGGCCCUAAUAUUAGAAAAACAAUUGGAAUUGGGCCACAGGAUGUGUAGCUACUCUCUUGUUCUUGGUCAGUUAGAUGUUUACAAAUAUUUCCUACAAUACCAUUCCAAUUCUGCUCAUAACUAAUAUUUCAUUCUCUUCUGUUCAGGUGCAGGAACAGUGCAGUGAAAUUCAGGAUUAGUUCUGUCCUGAAAAAUCCCAGCUAGAGACAAAAGUUUUACAAAAGAUUGCCAUUCUACAUUAAAACUUCCACGGAUGUCUGGUCGUUUUGCUUUAUCAAGCUAUUAAAAGUGUCCAUGUCUUGUAGCCUUGCAGGAACCUCAAAGGGAUCAGGUGAAGCAUUUCAAACUAGGAUGGCUCAAAAACAAAGCUCUUGUUCCUGUAAUCCCUGGGUUUGUAGUGAAUAUGUACCCUCCUUCCUAGCAAGCAGACAAGCAUUUUUGAACAGUUGUAUUUCUGAACACUGUUGUACUUAGCACUUAGUUUAAAGAAUAAACAUUUGUCAAGACUUGCCUUCUCUAAAACUGUGCAUUUAAAGGGAGGAAUAUUUCUCAUGCAUUGGUUAUAAUUUAAUGAACAUGCCAUGCAGUUAAUUUGAAGGAGUAAGAAUUGUUCAGAUAUCCUGGUUUGGGUUUUUUUUGUUUUGGUUUUUGGGAGCUUUGAUUUUUUGGUUGGUUGGUUUUUUGG